ACUCAAAUGAAUAGACGGGGACCCGCACAAGCGGUGGAUGAUGUGGAUUAAUUCGAUGCAACGCGAAAAACCUUACCUACCCUUGACAUGUCUGGAAUCCUUUAGAGAUAGAGGAGUGCUCGCAAGAGAACCGGAACACAGGUGCUGCAUGGCUGUCGUCAGCUCGUGUCGUGAGAUGUUGGGUUAAGUCCCGCAACGAGCGCAACCCUUGUCAUUAGUUGCCAGCAUUCAGUUGGGCACUCUAAUGAGACUGCCGGUGACAAACCGGAGGAAGGUGGGGAUGACGUCAAGUCCUCAUGGCCCUUAUGGGUAGGGCUUCACACGUCAUACAAUGGUCGGGACAGAGGGUUGCCAAACCGCGAGGUGGAGCCAAUCUCAGAAACCCGAUCGUAGUCCGGAUUGCAGGCUGCAACUCGCCUGCAUGAAGUCGGAAUCGCUAGUAAUCGCGGAUCAGCAUGUCGCGGUGAAUACGUUCCCGGGUCUUGCACACACCGCCCGU
rnacentral:rRNA from 1 species